rnacentral:rRNA from 1 species
UACGUAGGGAGCAAGCGUUGUCCGGAAUCAUUGGGCGUAAAGCGCGCGUAGGUGGCCCGGUAAGUCCGCUCUGAAAGUCACAGGCUCAACCUGUGAAAGCGGGUGGAUACUGCCGGGCUAGAGUCCGGAAGAGGCGAGUGGAAUUCCUGGUGUAGCGGUGGAAUGCGCAGAUAUCAGGAGGAACACCAACGGCGAAGGCAGCUCACUGGCCCGGUACUGACGCUGAGGUGCGAAAGCGUGGGGAGCAAACAGGG